GUGGCCACCAUCCCUAUGAUACAAGUGAAGAGACUAGAGGUCAGGGAGAUGAAGUGACCUGUUCAAAUGAUUCAUGCAAAGCAGUCUGUAGAGGUGGGGACGAUAGCACAGGCUUCAGAGCCACACAGACAAACCUGAGCCCGCAUCCUGGCUCUGCCACUCACCAGCUGUGGGACCUUCAGCAAAUAACUCAACCUCUUGUGACGAUUUCAAUCAGAGACGCCAGAAGUAAUUUGUCUCAAAUGACAACUCCAAAUGACUGCCAGUGGCUGCCCACAGUGCUUUGUUGAACAGGAUUCUGAGACGAAGUCUAAGCUCUUGGGAAAGAGGACCGUGAUCAAUUACCAAUAUCUGCCAUGGAGCCAAACGAUGGACUGAUGGCACAGACGUCACGUAUUUUCCAUCCCUGGUGCAGAGAAACACCAUGGUGGGAGAGACACUAAACAAACACACGUGUGCACGUCCAUGCCUGGCAGAGAUUUGACUAAGGCACCAAAGCAAUUAAACAAGGAAAGGAAGCUUGCACACCCGCCUUACCUAGCAUGGAGGCGAUGGGGGCAUUCGCUGGCCGUGGAGAGCCACACGCCAAGGAGCAAGGGAGGAACAAGACUUUCUGCUGGUCCCUGCAGUGGGAACUUCAAGCCUCCACUAUCCUCUUCCGGAAAGCAGAAGGUCUGAGAGCGGCUGGCCUCAGACUUGCACAAAGAAGGGUGUGGAAGGCUGAGCAAGGGCCACCUCCCAGCUGACCGAGCCGGCGCAGGGCCUGGUGCGGCUCCAGGGACAAGGUCAGGUCAAGUCCCAGCAGAGUGGACUUCAACGAAAUGCCCUGUGUCCUUCCCGUGAGCGCCGAGAGAAUCGGGAGAAUCGACCCUUUUACUUCACAGGGCCUGGGACGGUUUUACUGUCUACGAUGCCAGGGGGGCACCCUGACCCCCAUGCUUGCCAUUAGGGCCCCUUCUGGCUGCCCCACCCCACCCUACCCUAUCCCACCUCCCCACAUAGCGUUUCCCCUCCUCUCCUCCCCAGUGAGAAGCCACAUUUCACAUCUGAGCCUUGUCACCUGCUGAGCCACCUGGUUUCUCCCACUCAGUUAGGGCCCCUGUAGACGGCAGGCCUCUGAGGAUAGAGGACUGCAGCUCUGAUGUGACCCCAAAGGACUCAGCACAAUUCUGGACACACAAAUGGCCCUCCCUAAAUGCCUGCUGACCCACUGGGGCACAAAAACCAGCUUCCUAAAAAAAAAAAAUGUGGGCCUGGAAACCA